rnacentral:tRNA from 1 species
GGAGAGAUGACCGAGAGGCCGAAGGUGCACGCUUGGAAAGCGUGUGUGCUCUAACCGGGUACCGAGGGUUCGAAUCCCUCUCUCUCCGC